UACGUAGGGUGCGAGCGUUUAAUCGGAAUUACUGGGCGUAAAGCGUGCGCAGGCUGUUUUGUAAGUCAGAUGUGAAAUCCCUGAGCUCAACUUAGGAACUGCGUUUGAAACUAUAAGACUAGAAUAUGUCAGAGGGGGGUAGAAUUCCACGUGUAGCAGUGAAAUGCGUAGAGAUGUGGAGGAAUACCAAUGGCGAAGGCAGCCCCCUGGGAUAAUAUUGACGCUCAUGCACGAAAGCGUGGGGAGCAAACAGG
rnacentral:rRNA from 1 species